ensembl:ncRNA lncRNA:CR46076 long non-coding RNA:CR46076
AUACAUAUAUUUUUCCCUCUGCAAGACAACGCGCAUCCCGAUUUCUCACCAGCUGACAUCCUGAAUCCUUAACCAGUUGCAAACAAUUGACGCAAAUGAAAACUGACGCCCGCUAACUGCGACUCUGUAGCUGCCAUUGAGUGAUGGGCCAACCAAACCAGCACGCAUACGCCGUGUGAGCCGCGACUCGAUUCACGGCGCGUAAAUGAUACAAACAAGCCGUGCAGGUGGGUGUGCCAAUGGGUGGCUUAUCUGGUGAUUGGGCGGUGCGAGGAGUGAAAAGCCUGCUGCCGAGUGGACAGCUUGUCGCUGCUUGUUGCGACUGUCGGGAGAUGCGGCCGCAAAUUAGUGCAAAGUGCCACCCGGGUUGCGAGGAUACGGCGAGUAUUUCGCCCAGGACGACAGCCUUUCGUUUGUUGUGGAAAGAUUUGAAAGUUGAUUAAUGAAUACGAAAUGCGGAAAUACGAAGACGGGAAUCCACAGUCCUGAGUCCAGAGAAUCAAGAGUGGAAAGAGAUCGUUGGCCUCAGCAGAUGGAAAGCAUUUGAUGUCGGUCGGAAAUGAAUAAAGUGCGAAUUUUUGUGUUCUUCCCCGCCAUUCCUCCAUUCUCUCCGUUUGAAGAAUUCAAUUUUGUGAUGAAGAAAAAUUGAUUGUCGUCGUCCUUUGGACCUCACCAAACGAAAAGCGAGCAACGACCAGCGGGAAAACUCUGCCGCCACAGUCACAGACGGAGUUUCGUAGGAGAAGAAAAUUCCCAGACUUGGCGGACAGGUUCAUGAAUAAGAGCGGGCAAAAAUUAAUAUUUGCUCAAAUUGCGGCGAAGAAAAAUGGUUCGUUCCCAGGCUCAAUAGUGCGUGAAAUGAAUUGUUUCCGGGAAUCCUAGAUCGAAAUUAUUUCUUU